rnacentral:rRNA from 1 species
UACGGAGGAUGCGAGCGUUAAUCGGAAUUACUGGGCGUAAAGGGUGUGCAGGCGGUUUUGCAAGAUGGAUGUGAAAGCCCCGGGCUUAACCUGGGAAAGCCAUACAUGACUGCAAGACUAGAGUGCGUCAGAGGGGGGUGGAAUUCCAAGUGUAGCAGUGAAAUGCGUAGAUAUAUGGAAGAACACCAGUGGCGAAGGCGGCCGCCUGGCCUGUUGCUGACGCUGAGGCACGAAAGCGUGGGGAGCAAAUAGG